rnacentral:rRNA from 1 species
UACGUAGGGGGCAAGCGUUGUCCGGAUUUAUUGGGCGUAAAGAGCGUGUAGGCGGCCUGAAAGGUCAGCUGUGAAAACUCGAGGCUCAACCUCGAGACGUCGGUUGAAACCAUCUGGCUAGAGUCCGGAAGAGGAGAGUGGAAUUCCUGGUGUAGCGGUGAAAUGCGUAGAUAUCAGGAGGAACACCGGUGGUGUAGACGGCUUUCUGGACCGUAACUGACGCUGAGACACGAAAGCGUGGGUAGCAAACAGG